rnacentral:rRNA from 1 species
AAUUUAAAGUCUAGUCAGCCAAUGCUAAUUAUAUUAAAGGGCUGCAGUAUAUUGACUGUACAAAGGUAGCAUAAUCAAUAGUCUUUUAAUUGAAGACUUGUAUGAAGGAUUUAAUGAGAUAUAAACUGUCUCUAAUUUAUUAAUAGAAAUUAAUUUUUUAGUUAAAAAGCUAAAAUUUACUUAAAAGACGAGAAGACCCUAUAGAGUUUUAUAUUUAUAUUAUUUAAGAUUAUAUUUAUAAUUAAAAAUUAAAAGUAAUAUAAAUAUUUUGUUGGGGUGAUAAAAAAAUUAAAAUAACUUUUUUUAAAAUUUAACAAAAAUAAUUGGGAAAUUGAUCCAUAAUUUAUGAUUAAAAGAAAUAAUUACCUUAGGGAUAACAGCGUAAUAUUUUUUUUUAGUACAAAUAAAAAAAAAAGUUUGCGACCUCGAUGUUGGAUUAAGAUAAAAUUUAAAUGCAAAAGUUUAAAAUUUUGAUCUGUUCGAUCAUUAAAAUCUUACAUG